rnacentral:tRNA from 1 species
ACGGGCGUAGCUCAGUUGGUAGAGCAUUGGUCUCCAAAACCAAGGGCCGUGAGUUCGAAUCUUACCGCCCGUGCAA